AAGAGUUAGAAUGAGAAGCUAAAUAAGGGCGUACGGAGGAUGCCUAGGUAGUAAAAGCCGAAGAAGGACGUGAUAAGCUGCGAAAAGCUUGGGGGACAUGCACAUAAUCAGAGAUCCCGAGAUAUCCGAAUGGGGAAACCUGUAUAUUAGGAGAUAUACGUGAAGAAGGUAAGCCUGUGAACUGAAACAUCUAAGGUACC
rnacentral:rRNA from 1 species